GAUGAUCAGAAGUACAGUCACAAUCUUCAGAGAUGCAACAGCAGCGCAACACAUCACAACUUUAUGAAUGAAGGAGAGACUCACAUGUGAUACAUUCAACACUGAACACAACACAGAACAAUUUGAUGAUGAACAUUGUGUAGACCCUCUGGAGAUGACAGGAACAGGCAGAAUGCAAGGUGAAGGAUUGGGACUGGAAAAACACAACUUAAGGACUGUAGGAGAUGGUAAACUUUAUCCUG